GGUGGACAUAAUUCUACGGAUGGAUAUAAAUCUAUCCUUUAUUUGAAUAACUAGAAAACAAAAAUCAAAGCAUUUUUGCUAGAGCCAAGAUAAAAACACAUCCCAGGUAGAAAAUUGAAGAAUUCAAAAAUUAGACAUUAAAAAAACUUCUUUUGGUCUUUACUCAGCAUAUCAUUGGUUCCUCAAUGAUUCAUCCAUCUCCAUUCUAUGAUCACCUUUUUGAUUGGCACAAACAAGCCCUCAGCUAUCUAAGAAAAAAGCUCAGAAUAUUUAUGUCUGCUA
rnacentral:misc_RNA from 1 species